rnacentral:lncRNA from 1 species
GAAAAUCAUAUGAUUUGUAGCUUAUUAUGACUCAUGAUUAAAGCUAAAACACCAUGUGAAGCUUUAGGAAUGGCUUGGGAAUCUCCAUCAUUAUUAGUCAUACUUUAUGUUAUUUUAUGCCAAGGUAGCUAAUGUAUCCCUCCCUUCUCUAUAUAUUUCAGCCAUUUAGGCCUUGUAAUGCAUCAUAUAUUGUAAUCCCAUUUAUGCUCUUUGAGUAUAUUUCGAAUUGGUGUGAAGCUGAUUCAAACAAUUUCCUAAUGAAAUAUCUCU